CAGUAGGAAGAAGAGUUGACUGAGGAACUGCAUAAAACAACAUGAAAAGAUGAUACAGUAUGAAGAGAGAAAACACACGCUGGAAGUACAACAACAACAACAAAACGACAACCCGCACCACACAUGAAAUAUCAUCAUACAACUCAGGGAGAAAUUCUCGCUACAACUGGAAUGCAGCCCCAUUUUCUCAUCAGCUCUUUUGUUAGUAUACAGGCAAAGAGGAGACCUCACUGAUGCUUUUAGCCGACCUACUAGACAGCAGUUAGUGUACACAGAAACGUAAAACAUAGCAAUAAAAAAAGAUAUACAGUGGCUACAAAAAGGUCAGUGUAAAGUUUCCACUGUCCACUAAUCACACACAAUAUUUGGGUCAUGGUUAAGUCCAAGGAUCCAACAUUGACUCGGGAGAAAAGCAAAGGUAAAGCAGGACGGUGAUUGCAGCAAUACACAAGCUCAGUCAAAGAUGCUGAUGCAGUCAGGACUGCUAUAUGGAAAGGCGUAACACGGAAAGGAGACACGUCUUGAGUGCAUUUUCACAAGCUUGCAUUCAAAGCAAAGCAUCUUAAAACAUCUCUCAGAAGCAUGUGUUAGAGAAAAGCACGUAAAAAAUCCAAUAGUGCGGGCCCUCGCUUCUGAAAUACACCUGAGGUGAAAGGCAAGUAAGAGUUGGUCGUGGCCUACCUGAUGCUGACUCCUGCAACUUUUCCCUCUUCCUCUUCUUUUUCUUCCCCUGAAAAACAGGCAAUUUUACUAUACCAUUACAUGCACAGAACUUCCUUUGUCUCUCCCCCACCUCACAGCAUAGAAAUAAAAACCAUCUGGACACUGAAAAAGCAAUUAGGCAAAAAAAAAAAUCAAUCAAUUGUUUUGGGUGUAGGGAAAACCUUUUCUAACCCACUUCCAACUGUUUCAACAGUAACAAGGUUUGCUCCCAGCAUCUACAGAGAAAUAUGCACAUGAGCAAUACAUGUUUUUAUAUUCACAUGGAAUUACAAUUUCUGGCAGUUUUUCAACUAAUGCUGGCAGCCACAAGCCUCUAAAAGACUUUUCACACUUAAUAAUCUGAUGACACAUGUGUUGAUAUCAUAAUUUAUGGCUCUUACAAGAACUCUUCGCACAUUCAGAUACUUACACUGUCAUACAUGGCAACAGCAGACAGGGUGUUGAAAGUACCUAGGACGACCAUGACUUGCCCCCAGGGUGCAAACCAGCCAACUAAAAACUGUUCUGAUAACGCCCAUGCCUUAACAAAAACCAAGUCUCAAAUGGAUGUGCCCAUAGAAAAUGCUGUACAAUAAUGAAACAUCAGAUUGCUGUAGAGUGAAACACCCUUAAAGUGACUGAGGUGCAGGACAGAAAUGGACGUCAGGCAGCUGUCUUUCUUGGACACCACGCUGGCACCAUCAUGCCAACCCACACAUUCAGCCUUCUCCUGCACCCCCAUCUAUGGAAAAGGACAGAGCUCUCAGCACAGUCCUUCAGGAAACAAAAGGUCAGUUUAGAUCCACAAUUUUAAACCUCAUCAUCUUGCUUUGCCCUAAUUACCACUUUGAUAUUCCUCCAUAUGACUUCUCCUCAGUAUCCUGCAUCGUCAGCCAAAGCUUUUUUUGUUUUGUGCUUUUUUUUUUUUUUUAAAAGAAAAGUAAUAUCCAUUUGUAUUUUAAAGAAGGCUUCAAGCUGUCAGCAUGGGCCCUAACAGAGGUAAACCUUGGUGUGGUUGCUGCAAGCGUGCCUGUUGCCUGCUGUCCUUUCUUCUGCCCCCAACCAGAGGUGACCCCACUCAGCACACUCGAAGCAGACCAUGCCAUGCACCGUGGCCACAAAUUGGAAGGGCUGAGAUGGAAAGACACAUCUUUCUUUUAGCUAUAGCUCUGCAAGGUGACAGGAUGGAUAACAGGCCGUGUGAGAAUCCACCUCGAACCACUGCAGUACUCACUGAUGGAUGGCAAGUGAGGGCUCCAAACAUAAGCUACAGUGAAGCUACAGCACAUGAACUUAAGUAGUCUCCAGUCCACUUGCCUGACUCUUAAGCUAUUAUCCUUAUUUAUCCUGAGGGUGGCAACAGGGCUCAGCAAUGCCUUUGUGAGUGACCUCCCAAAAACGAGACCAAGAUUGGAAGCCGGAAAGCAGAUUUCAAGGGCUCUGGGAAAUGCAGAGUGAUGUGCUUUAUCACCUGGGCACCAAGGCAAUGAUUCUGAUUUAGAUGUUAACAUGGAAAAAAUCCUGUGAGGAAAAUUAUAUUUUGUUCUCUACAGUGCACUGAUUUCAAGUGCCAAGAUAUACUGAAAGCUAAUCUGAGAUCCAUCUAUGAGAUACCAGAAGCAAAGGAACAGAAGGAAAAGGCUGGGCUGAAAACUACUUGUCAGUGUUCGCAAAUGAGGGAGUUUCUAACAAUUCCAGCACGUGCAGACACUACCACAUUAUGAAAACACUGUGCUUCUCAUGACUAGCACAUAACUUUGUGGGACUACUUUGCGUAUCAGUAAUAGGAACAUAAUGAAAAGCACACAGAUAUUGUCACCAGUGGAAUAGCAAUGCUUAACAUUUUCAUGAAAUUUCUGAAAUCCUCAAUAUUCAGGCAAACCAAAAUAGAAGAAU